rnacentral:rRNA from 1 species
GACGAACGCUGGCGGCGUGGAUAAGACAUGCAAGUCGAACGGGAUUUUUUUCUGUAGCAAUACAGGAAAAAGUCUAGUGGCGAACGGGUGCGUAACACGUGAGCAACCUGCCGUGAAGUGGGGGAUAGCUCGCCGAAAGGCGAAUUAAUACCGCAUGUGGCCAAGGAAGACAUCUUCCUGACGCCAAAGCCGGGGCAACCUGGCGCUUCUCGAGGGGCUCGCGGCCUAUCAGCUUGUUGGUGAGGUAACGGCUCACCAAGGCUAUGACGGGUAGCUGGUCUGAGAGGACGACCAGCCACACUGGAACUGAGACACGGUCCAGACACCUACGGGUGGCAGCAGUCGAGAAUUUUUCACAAUGGGGGAAACCCUUAGGGAGCGACGCCGCGAGGAGGAUGAAGGUUUUCGGAUUGUAAACUCCUGUCAUUAGAGAACAAGGCACACGGUUUAACUGGCCGUGUGUUGAUAGUAUCUGAAGAGGAAGAGACGGCUAACUCUGUGCCAGCCGCCGCGGUAA